GACGACGCUGGCGGCGUGCUUAACACAUGCAAGUCGAACGAUUGGCGAACGGGGGAGUAAUGUAUGGGGAUCUGCCCGAUAGAGGGGGAUAACUACUGGAAACGGUGGCUAAUACUGCAUACUAUCGGAUUAACCCAUAUGGGAUUAGCUAGUAGGUGGGGUAAAGGCUCACCUAGGCGACGAUCCCUAGCUGGUCUGAGAGGAUGAUCAGCCCAACGGGGACUGAGACACGGCCCGGACUCCUACGGAGGGCAGCAGUGGGGAAUAUUGCACAAUGGGCGCAAGCCUGAUGCAGCCAUGCCGCGUGUGUGACGAAGGCCUUAGGGUUGUAAAGUACUUUCAGCGGGGAGGCGUUACCCGAAGAGGAAGCACCGGCUAACUACGUGCCAGCCGCCGCGGUAAUAC
rnacentral:rRNA from 1 species